UACGUAGGGAGCGAGCGUUAUCCGGAUUCAUUGGGUGUAAAGCGUGUGUAGGCGGUUUCUUAAGUCAGUAGUCUAAGCCUGGAACUUAACUCCAGUUCGCUACUGAAACUGAGUUACUUGAGUAUGGUAGAGGCAAGUGGAAUUUCUAGUGUAGCGGUGGAAUGCGUAGAUAUUAGAAGGAACACCAGUGGCGAAGGCGGCUUGCUGGGCCAUCACUGACGCUGAGACACGAAAGCGUGGGGAGCAAAUAGG
rnacentral:rRNA from 1 species